rnacentral:rRNA from 1 species
AACGUAGGAGGCAAGCGUUAUCCGGGGUUACUGGGCGUAAAGCGUGCGUGGGCGGAUCAAUAAGUGGGUGGUGAAAGCGCCCGGCUAAACCGGGCGAGGACCAUUCAGACUGUUGGUCUAGAGGCGGAUAGAGGGGUGCGGAAUUCCGGGUGUAGCGGUGAAAUGUGUAGAGAUCCGGAGGAACACCAGUGGUGCAAACGGCGCCCUGGGUCCGAACUGACGCUGAUGCACGAAAGCGUGGGGAGCGAACGGG